UAAAAGACUGGAGCCCAUUUCAACCAGGAGUCUGAUACGGGACAACGACUCGAACCAACGGACCACUCGUGGGAAAGGCCUGAUUUUUGGGGGAUUUAACUCCACAAGCCUGGAAUCUAAUCUUAUUCACUUUUGUGAGAGAACCCGUAUCCUGUCCUUUAGGCUAUGCCUGUGUAAACCGUGAUCAGGCAGGUAUGCAGUUGAACCGACCGAAGAGCGCUUUAGUGUCGAGCUUCAGCCAGUCGAUUUCCCCUGAGACGGCAGCCAGUAUCGGAUCCUUCUCCAGCCAGUUCAAAACCAUGCGCUUCUCCUACCACAUCAGCCGCAGCAUGGCAAGACCACAACCGCCGCUGCGCAGGAUACGCCCAUCCUCCUCCAGUCCUCGGCUGAUGACUAAGAGCCUAUCCCUGGAGCCUGGUGCUCACGGUGCAUGCCUCGGGGCCCACGACGACGACUCAGACACCCAGACAGAGACCCCUCGCCUAAGCUCAGACCCCGGCCCUCAAACCUCCGGGCCACUGGGUCUGCAACCCCCCAGGGCUCUGCUGCACCCCGCUCUACACAGCUGUAACAGAGGAGACAACAGGAGUGGAACUCCUCAAGAAGUGCCCUCCACCGCCCUCAAGACACGCCCUCCCUUACCUGGGCCUAAACCACAAGUGCCCCCAAAGCCUCCUCACCUGCAGAGUGCUGGUGCUGC
ensembl:lncRNA